rnacentral:rRNA from 1 species
GACAGAGGGUGCAAGCGUUGUUCGGAAUUAUUGGGCGUAAAGGGCGCGUAGGCGGCUGAGCAAGUCGAACGUGAAAUCCCUGGGCUUAACCCAGGAAGUGCAUUUGAUACUGCUCAACUUGAGUCCCGGAGAGGGUGGUGGAAUUCCCAGUGUAGAGGUGAAAUUCGUAGAUAUUGGGAGGAACACCGGUGGCGAAGGCGACGACCUGGACGGAGACUGACGCUGAGGCGCGAAAGCGUGGGGAGCAAACGGG